rnacentral:rRNA from 1 species
CAAUAGCGUAUAUUUAAGUUGUUGCAGUUAAAAAGCUCGUAGUUGGAUUUUGGGUGGGGGCGUCCGGUCCGCCGUUCCGGUGUACACUGGGCGCCCCUUCCUUUCUGCCGGGGACCGCCUGGGGCUUUAAGUAGCUCGAGGCGGGAGUCGGCGUUGUUACUUUGAAAAAAUUAGAGUGUUCAAAGCAAGCCAUCGCUCUGAAUACAUUAGCAUGGAAUAACAUGAUAGGACUCCGCUCUUAUUUUGUUGGUUUCCGAGACUGGAGUAAUGAUUAAGAGGGACAGUCGGGGGCAUCCGUAUUUCAUUGUCAGAGGUGAAAUUCUUGGAUUUAUGAAAGACGAACUUCUGCGAAAGCAUUUGCCAAGGAUGUUUUCAUUA